AGCGAGACUAGGGGGACAUUUACGUUCGCCUAAACGCCUGCCACUACUUCUCCGCUGACAUUACUUCGCUCAACCGAGGUUCCUGUCCGCUCGGUUCCUUAUUGUGCACAUUAGGCUGCGUCCACAUUCAUCUUCCAAGAGCUAUCGAGAGUUAUGUUACAAUAUAUUAUCCUCCUUCGCGUUUCAUUGCUUGUCUCUAAUAUUUCUAGAAAAUAGCCGAAGCAAUGAUAACAAAUUUAUCAUAGAACAUCCUUAUUUCUCAUGAAGCAAAAUUGACGUAAUUAUUUAAAUUUUUUCAGAGUCUCCUGCAAGCUGCGUGUCAUCGUAUUCGACACGAGGAAGCCAAAGAAAUUAUGAUGUCAGUUACAACGAGACAACUUCGUCUAUAGGUAUCACAUAGUAUGAGUGUUACUUUAACGCUUUUAAAGAGCCGCAUGUGUGACUGAAGAGAGAGAAGGAGAGGGAGUGGCCUAUUCGUUUAUAUAUAUACACAACCUACGUAUACACGUGCAUACUCUCGCCCUCGUCCCUUUACAUACAUAGGAAAGAUGCGAAGAGAUACGUGGGUGGAAGCUGACGCGGCUCGCGCGAGAGAGAGUGAAUGUCACCACUGAAGUGUCGCGCGUUAAAAAGUAUCCGCGCCUCCGAAACUCGAGUCCGUUUUCCGAAACCGGUCUAAUGGAACCGUGGGAAUUGGCGCAAAGGUGUCACGUGGUUCUUAUCGUUUCCCAGAAAUAGUUAAAAUUAUGGGUUUCCUCGUGUCGCCGCAGGAUAAGAGGAACGGUAAAAAUAAAAUAAAAAUAGAUAAGCAUGUGGAAGAGAUAACUUCCAGUCCGAAUGACCAGUUCUUGAGCCUAGGAUGAGUCGUUCGUUAUCGCGUAGGAAUAUGGAACACCCAGGCGUUAUCAAUUUCCUAACAAUAGAUAGGACAGAAAGGUAUAAUGGGAAAAGCAAAAGCAGAAAAUGUGUUAAAGUAACACGCAGAAAUAUGAACGUCUCAUGAAUAAAAUAUCAUCCAGCGAAUGCAAGCGGCAGGCAAUUUACCGGCUAUGAUUCACCGAGUGCGUGAAGAAGGAAUUCCUUGGACGGAAUUAUAAGUGGUUAUCCAAAUUUCGUGGAGAUCGAAUGACAAAUGAAGAAGAAAUGCACGAGCGAAAGAAAAAUAUAUAUAACGAUUGCGAAUCGCAUUUUCGCUCGAUUGCUUAUAUGGAUUUAUCUGCAAAUGCUUCAAUCUUAUCUGUUACAUAGGUCAAGCAUUAUAAAAAUGAGCGAUUAAAGUGAACAUUAAUGAGAUCAUAGUUAUCAUAUAUAUCCAACGUAAAAGAAGCAGCUUUAAAAGUUAUUCAUUUUUUUUAGAAAUUAUUUUGAAUAGUUUAACAUUGACGAGAGUAUUGAUAUAAUUUAUGUAAAUAAGUUGCAUUGUUCGCGAUGAGAAUGUAAUUUAAGCGGGAUAAGAUUACGCUUCGAUGAAUUUGGGACGCGUCAGCGCAUUGUUUAUCCCUCUUGUACGAAAUUUAUAUAUAUAGUCUUUAUGGCAUUCGGCCAAGGUGCGAGAAGACUUGACGUAUGUAACAUUAAUGGUCAAUGCGUUUCCUUAACCCACUUAACAAUGCAAUGCAUUAAUUAUGCUACUCCAAUCAUUUUCUUAACAAGAUAUGCAGCAGUAAACGAAUAUCCUAUAAAACAUAAAACAGAUAUAAAAUUUUCAGAAAAAAAAGCAUAAUUUUUCAACAGAAAUUUUAUAGGCAACAACAAUAGACUCACCGAAGGUCUAGAAAUGACAUUGUAAGGCAGCAAUCCCUUCCCAGGUGCAGGUUUGAUCGGUGGACUGACAGAUUUUCUCUCUUCUGCUUCUGAAUUGGCAGGUCUUUGUAAUACAGGUACACCAGCAUUCAAGAGAACAGGUCCUGCAACUCCACUGGUGACACCAGGGGAAGACUAGUGAUCCUAGGACCAGUAUUGAUGUCAGUUUCACCAGCAGUGGUUGCAGCACUGCUGACAGGAGCUUGCACCUGUCCACGUAUAGGGCUUCCGAUGGAACUGUUGUUGAAGGAAGGAUGCAAUGCAUGCCUAGCGUACCUAAUCUCAAGUGUUCCGUGGAGCGAUUUGAAGAGUAAACAGGGGAAUUUCUUGCUGGAAAGUCUGGUCGAUUUUCUUGGUGAUGGUAAUUCCUUUCAUUCGGAGGCAAUGUACGAUUUGGAGAGUAGCAUGGAGGAUUAUGACACGCUGUCUGAUCCCCUGGACGAAAUCCAUACACUGGCGAAUUCCUGGCCUGUGGGUCUCCUGUGAAACUUGUAUUUGCAGUUCUCGAAGGAGGGUCAAUGUACUGCUUGUAAUUCUGUGGAUUGUCCUGUCGAAAUUGCGAAGAUUGACCAUUAUCAAUUUGAUUUGUGGCACGAAAUCCUUGCUGUCCACUCAUAGUACUUUCCAAUAAACCACGAUAAUGAUGAGGCUCCGGUGGUAAACGUAUAGGAGGAGAUUCGCUGUGAUACGUUCAGACGGAGGUACAUAAGCGCUCCUUCCAGCCUGAUGAUCCGAGGAUGUGGAGGAUGAGCUCUGUAAAUACCUGGACGCAGAUGAAUCCAUUGAACGCUGUAAACUUGAAGCAUCAUAACUUUGACUACGUAUACUUCCACUCCUCUGUUGAGUGUACGAUAAACUUUGAGUCAUUCCA